rnacentral:rRNA from 1 species
AUUGAACGCUGGCGGCAGGCCUAACACAUGCAAGUCGAACGAGUGGCGGACGGGUGAGUAAUGUCUGGGAAUCCGCCCUAUGGAGGGGGAUAACUUUUGGACACGGUCGCUAAUACCGCAUUCUCUCGGAAGUGCCCAGAUGGGUUUGGCUAGUAGGUGGGGUAACGGCACACCUAGGCGACGAUCCCUAGCUGGUCUGAGAGGAUGACCAGCCACACUGGAACUGAGACACGGCCCAGACUCCUACGGGAGGCAGCAGUGGGGAAUAUUGCAAAAUGGGCGCAAGCCUGAUGCAGCCAUGCCGCGUGUAUGAAGAAGGCCUUCGGGUUGUAAAGUACUUUCAGCGAGGAGGCGUUACUCGCAGAAGAAGCACCGGCUAACUCCGUGCCAGCCGCCGCGGUAAUUC